CGGCGCUUCCCACAGUGCGCCGGGGCGCGCGCGGGGGCUCCUGGGAGUUGUGGUCCGGCGCCGCUCGUCGCUGCUGCGGCUGCUACGGGCUCGGCGCCGGCUUUGUCUGUCUGCGGGUGCGCGCUGCUGCGGUACUCAAGCCCGGCCCAUGGAAGAAUCAUAUGAGGAAGUGGUGAUUAAAGUCACAGAGCAGGAGUGGACAUGUUUGGGUUUCCAACAGCUACCCUGCUGGACUGUCAUGGAAGAUAUGCCCAGAAUGUAGCAUUUUUCAAUGUGAUGACAGAAGCCCACAAAUAUGAUCAUUCAGAGGCCACAGGAUCGUCAAGCUGGGAUUUCCAGAGUUCUUUCAGAAGAGAGAAGCUGGAACAAAAGUCCCCAGAUUCUAAGACACUACAGGAAGACUCCCCUGGAGUGAGACAGAAGGUCUAUGAUUGCCAGGAAUGUGGGAAGUCUUUCCGGCAAAAAGGUAGUCUAACAUUGCAUGAGAGAAUCCACACUGGUCAGAAGCCUUUUGAGUGCACCCAGUGUGGAAAGAGCUUCAGAGCCAAAGGCAAUCUAGUUACACAUCAGCGAAUUCACACAGGAGAGAAACCCUAUCAGUGCAAAGAGUGUGGGAAAAGCUUUAGUCAGCGAGGCAGUCUAGCUGUUCAUGAGAGACUCCACACUGGACAGAAACCCUAUGAAUGUGCCAUUUGCCAGAGAAGCUUCAGGAAUCAAAGUAACCUUGCUGUUCACCGAAGAGUUCACAGUGGUGAGAAGCCCUAUAGAUGUGACCAGUGUGGAAAAGCUUUCAGUCAGAAGGGGAGCUUAAUUGUCCACAUCAGAGUUCACACAGGUCUGAAGCCCUAUGCGUGUUCUCACUGCAGGAAGAGUUUCCACACCAGGGGGAAUUGUAUUCUGCAUGGAAAAAUCCACACAGGAGAAACACCCUAUCUCUGUGGCCAGUGUGGGAAAAGUUUCACCCAGAGAGGGAGCCUGGCUGUGCACCAGCGAAGCUGCUCACAAAGGCUCACCCUGUAACCAUUCUCUUCAAAGGAAGUUCUUAAGAAUUAAGAAUACAAAACCCUCUGUAAUCAAGAAAGUUAUCUAAUUCUAUAGGGUAAGUGGAAAUUCUUCCAGAAGGACCAGUAUUUGAUAGGACAAACUGACUUUUUCCCUUUCCCCCAAAUGAAUAUGAAAAAUAAAUGUCUUGUUUUGUCAUUA